GUCUACAAUUAAAUACUUCAGUGUGAGGCGCUUGGAGUUAUUAUUAGUUUGUAAAGAGUGCCAUCUAGCGGUAGAAGGUGGCAAUUGACACCCUGGGUACUAAAAUACAAUAGUCAAAUUAAAAUAAGCCUUCCUCAGUUUGUUUAUUUGUGUAUAUUGUAUGACGUUUAUUACAUCCAAACGUAGAAUGUAUCGGUUAGUUUUUUUCAUCACUAUGACGAAAGCUGCACCAUGUAACACAGCUUCACCAUUCCACAACGACGAAUCUGCAGAUACGGAACAACAGGUGGUUUUUACCUUAACGUCAACGUGACGGCUUACGCUAGCAUGGGAAGUCGCUGUGAAACGACUCUUUAGCAAUAAAACUUAAAGUAGGCAACGCCACAGCGACGUUGCACUGCCGGUUAAGGACUGAAAUAAGAUGAGGAAACAAAUGCAAAGCUACAUUUCCGGUCUUAUACUGAUAGUAUUCGCAGCUACACCGGAAGUAGCCUGAGUUACCCCCAAGGUGGGCUCCUGAAGGUGGCGACAAAGCACAAAAGAAGCUCAUUUUAAAUAGUGAGGUUCGUCCCGGUGUCCGAGCCACGAUGUUUCCACACACCCUGAAGCGCAUUGGCAGGCAGCUGGUGCGUGUCAAGGUGGUGGACUGCUCCUGCGACAACACCCGCCUGUCGCGAUGCCUCGACACCUACGACCUGGUGGCGCUCGGCGUGGGCAGCACGAUGGGCGCCGGCGUCUACGUGGUGACCGGCGCGGUGACCAAAAACAUUUCCGGUCCCGCCGUCGUGAUCUCCUUCCUGAUAGCGGCGAUAGCGGCCGUCAUGGCGGGGCUGUGCUACGCCGAGUUUGGCGCCCGCGUCCCUAAAACGGGCUCAGCCUACCUCUACAGUUACGUCACGGUCGGAGAGCUGCUGGCCUUCAUCACCGGGUGGAACCUCCUCGUCUCUUAUGCCAUCGGAACCUCCAGCGUGGCCAAAACGUGGGCUUCCACCUUUGACGCCCUCAUCGGGAACAGCAUCGAGGCCUGGAGCAAGAAACACAUGCCCAUGAACGCACCCAACGUCCUGGCAGAGUACCCUGACUUAUUUGCAGUCUUCAUCAUCAUGAUCCUCACAGGUGUGCUGGGCUUCGGCGUGAAGGAGUCGGCCCUGGUGACCAAGUUGUUCACCAGCAUCAACAUCAUGGUGUUGGUGUUCGUCAUGAUCGCUGGCUGCAUCAAGGGGGACAGGAAGAACUGGAGCCUGAACACCGAAGACAUCAUCAGUAACGCUACCGAGGGAACAAACAAAACGGCUUUAAAGGAAAGUCUGGGGGCGGGAGGCUUCAUGCCGUUCGGCUGGGAGGGGAUCGUCUCGGGUGCCGCUACGUGUUUCUACGCCUUCAUCGGCUUUGAAUGCAUCACCACUGCAGGUGAGGAGGUGAAGAACCCCCAGAAGGCCAUCCCCGUCAGCAUCAUCACGUCGCUGCUCAUCUGCUUCUCCAUCUAUGUCGGCGUGUCGGCCUCCCUCACUUCCAUGAUUCCGUACUACCAACUGGAUGAAUCCAACCCCCUGCCCAGGGCCUUCACUGACCUGGGGUGGGUGGGCGCCACCUACACUGUGGCCACCGGCUCGCUGUGCGCCUUGUCCACCAGUCUCCUUGGAGCCAUGUUCCCCAUGCCCCGAGUCAUGUGGGCCAUGGCGGAAGAUGGCCUCCUCUUCCGAUGCUUCACCACCAUCAACCACCGCACCAAAACGCCUCUUAUAGCGACCCUGACGUCUGGCGUUCUAGCAGGUCUGAUGGCCAUGCUGUUUGACCUGAAGGACCUGGUUGACCUCAUGUCCAUCGGGACCCUGCUGGCUUACACGCUGGUGGCGGCCUGCGUGCUGGUGCUCAGGUACCAGCCCGAGCGCAGGCCGACCGGCGAGGAGGAAGACGAAGACCGGGACGACGGGAACCGCCCGCCUCAGCAACCCCUCACCUGUGGGAAAUUGAUCCUCUGCGCCGGGACGGAACCCACCCGCUUGUCCGGCACAGUGGUGGCGGUUUGUACCGCCAUGCUCGGUCUUCUGGCGUUGAUCUUCAGCGUGGUCGGCCUCAUGUGUGGGAAAACGCUGUGGUCGCUGGCCGUGCAGGUCUUCACCAUGUCGGCGUGGUUGGCCGUGGCCUUGGUGGUGUGCGUGCAGCCGCAGAACAAGACCAAGCUUUCCUUCAAGGUGCCGUUGGUGCCGUUACUCCCCAUGGUUAGCAUGCUGGUCAACACCUUCCUGAUGAUCCAGCUCAUGAAAGGACCGUGGGCGCACUACACCUGCUGUAUGGCUAUAGGUUUGCUUAUGUAUCUUGGCUAUGGCUUCCGAAACAGCACAGGGGCAGAGGAACGGAGGGCCGAUUUGUACGAACUGGCCAAAUUUCACACCGAGUCGGACGCCACCCAGCAGGACAUCUGAGGACAUCCACCGGGAUUCACAACUAUGUGUGUGGGUGUGUGGGUCAGACACAGCAAGGUUGUUUUUUCCAGCUGGAGUCGCAGGCGGUCCCUCGUUGCCGGGCGGAUGAGCUUUGUUGACACGCCCAGCAGCGGAAGGACGGGGAAAGACGGUGGAAGCGAGGCACUGUUGAUGUGUUUUUAAUUAGUGUUCAAAGUUUUUUUUAUGUCGCUUAUCUUUUCUAUGUGUGUGUGUGUGUGUGUGUGUGUUCAGAAAUGUGUACCUGUAAGACCUGCUAGUUUCUAUUUUUUUAGCACAAUACCUGAAAUGCACUUUUGUACUACUUGGAUUUGUAGCAAUGAUGAACAAUGAAGGAGUUUACAAUAAAUAUUUUUAAAUGUUUUCAAUUUG